UACGGAGGGUGCAAGCGUUGUUCGGAAUUACUGGGCGUAAAGCGCACGUAGGCGGGUUUAUUUGUCGAUUGUGAAAGCCCCGGGCUCAACCUGGGAAUUGCAGUCGAAACGGUAAAUCUUGAAUGUUUGAGAGGAUGGCGGAAUUCCUGGUGUAGUAGUGAAAUACGUAGAUAUCAGGAGGAACACCGGAGGCGAAGGCGGCUAUCUGGCAAUACAUUGACGCUGAGGUGCGAAAGCGUGGGGAGCAAACAGG
rnacentral:rRNA from 1 species